UCUAGAACUCGAGAUAUGGGCUGAACACUGAACAGUGUUUGGGCUGCAGGACAGAUUCGGACUUCUUCUUUGUUGCUACAAUUUGGACUUGAAAACGGCCUUAUUAAAUCUUGGACUCCUCAUGAAAGUUGUAGGCCUAUGUCUUAGCUUUGCAUC
rfam:Populus trichocarpa scaffold_7_contig_77, whole genome shotgun sequence.